UACGGGGGGGGCAAGCGUUGUUCGGAAUUACUGGGCGUAAAGGGCUCGUAGGUGGCCAACUAAGUCAGACGUGAAAUCCCUCAGCUUAACUGGGGAACUGCGUCUGAUACUGGAUGGCUUGAGAUUGGGAGAGGGACGCGGAAUUCCAGGUGUAGCGGUGAAAUGCGUAGAUACCUGGAGGAACACCGGUGGCGAAGGCGGCGUCCUGGACCAACACUGACACUGAGGAGCGAAAGCCAGGGGAGCAAACGGG
rnacentral:rRNA from 1 species